rnacentral:tmRNA from 2 species
GGGGGUGCAACGGAUUCGAUUGCCGGUGAGCGGAAAGAUAAGCAUACUGCGGACGGAGUGCCCGCAUAAAAAACAUUCCGUUAAAUUUAAAUGCAGAUAACAAUGCAGAAUACGCACUUGCUGCGUAAAUUCGUCUCAUGACGAUCGUCGCGCCCCGUUUAUCCGUCGGCGGGGGCCGUGGCGUCAAUCAGACGGAAAAAUCCGUGCGGUUUCGGGAACGGCUUUGCGGAUUAUUUAGUUCCCUGCGGCGCGCGGAGCGCGUCUGUCCGCGCCGCGCCGUUUAAGUCAAUAGGCAGACUAAGUAUGUAGAAAGUCUUUUGGCAGCCGAGUAAGACGUGAGUUCGACUCUCACCACCUCCACCA